rnacentral:tRNA from 1 species
ACCUGGGUGGCUCAGUCAGUUAAGCAUCUGACUUCUGCUCAGUCAAUCUCACAGUUUGUGGGUUCAAGUCCCACAUCAGGCU